rnacentral:lncRNA from 1 species
AGUUCAGUUCAGGGUUGGAGCCCUAAUGCUAACUAAAAGGGAAGAGUUUCAGUUUAAGGUUGGAGCCCUAAUGCUGACUAAAUGGAAAAAGUUCAGUUCAGGGUUGGAGCCCUAAUGCUGACUAAAUGGAAACAGUUCAGUUUAGGGUUGGAGCCCUAAUGCUGACUAAAUGGUAAAAGUUCAGUUUAGGGUUGGAUCCCUAAUGCUGACUAACAGGAAAAAGUUCAGUUCAGGGUUGGAGCCCUAAUGCUGACUAAAUGGAAACAGUUCAGUUUAGGGUUGGAGCCCUAAUGCUGACUAAAUGGAAAAAGUUCAGUUUAGGGUUGGAUCCCUAAUG